rnacentral:rRNA from 1 species
GUUUCAUUUAGGAUUUUUUUAGAAUUUUAUUUUUUAGUCAAAAAGCUAAAAUAUAUUCAAAAGACGAGAAGACCCUAUAAAUCUUGAUUAUUUAAGUAAAUUUUAAUUUAUUUUGGUUAAUUUUAUUAUUAUUUAUUAAAUAAUUUUAUUGGGGUGAUAUUAAAAUUUAAAUAACUUUUAAUUAUUUUUAAAUCAUUAAUUUAUGAUUAAAUGAUCCAUUUUUAGUGAUUAAAAAAUUAAGUUACUUUAGGGAUAACAGCGUAAUUUUUUUGGAGAGUUCUUAUCGAUAAAAAAGUUUGCGACCUCGAUGUUGGAUUAAGAUUCAUAUUUAAAUGCAGAAGUUUAAAUAUUAAGUCUGUUCGACUUUAAUUUCUUACAUGAUCUGAGUUCAAACCGGUGUAAGCCAGGUUGGUUUCUAUCUUUGAUUUAUUGAAAUAUUUUAGUACGAAAGGAAUAAAUAUUUAUUAUAUAAUAAUUAUUUUUAGAAU